GACGAACGCUGGCGGCGUGCUUAACACAUGCAAGUCGAACGGAAAGGCCCUGCUUUUGUGGGGUGCUCGAGUGGCGAACGGGUGAGUAACACGUGAGUAACCUGCCCUUGACUUUGGGAUAACUUCAGGAAACUGGGGCUAAUACCGGAUAGGAGCUCCUGCUGCAUGGUGGGGGUUGGAAAGUUUCGGCGGUUGGGGAUGGACUCGCGGCUUAUCAGCUUGUUGGUGGGGUAGUGGCUUACCAAGGCUUUGACGGGUAGCCGGCCUGAGAGGGUGACCGGCCACAUUGGGACUGAGAGACGGCCCAGACUCCUACGGGAGGCAGGAGUGGGGAAGAUUGCACAAUGGGCGGAAGACUGAUGCAGCAACGCCGCGUGCGGGAUGACGGCCUUCGGGUUGUAAACCGCUUUCGCCUGUGACGAAGCGUGAGUGACGGUAAUGGGUAAAGAAGCACCGGCUAACUACGU
rnacentral:rRNA from 1 species